CCCUUCCAUUUCGCAGCUUUGAACUUGACACUGCGGGGCAGGACACACUCUCCUGCUCAGCAUCUUGUACUUGCUUUUCCUUCUGCCCCAAACCUCUCACACCUGGCUGAUUCGCACCUGGCUGAUUGAUUGUCCUCCCCCUAGAAGCCUUCAGACUUUCCCCAGCAGUUUAGUGCCCUUCAGGAUGCAGAGACAUUUUCUGUUCACCUGGACUAUUCUCCCAUCUGGCUGCCAGCACCACAGGUGACAAGCAGGAGGCUGAGCCCCAUGGUUUUUGCCCAGUUGAGCCAGACGAGACUUAGCAGUGAGAAAAGAGAAGGCUGUGAGCAAGGAGGAGCUGAUGUUGAUGAACCAAAGAUCCUUGAAUUUCAGAACUGGCAAGGCCACUUGGC
rnacentral:lncRNA from 1 species